AUCCAGCUGAUGAGUUCAAAAGAGUACGAAACGCACGUCCUGGAU
rnacentral:hammerhead_ribozyme from 1 species